AGAGUUUGAUCAUGGCUCAGAAUCAACGCUGGCGGCGCGCCUAACACAUGCAAGUCGAACGAGAAAGUGGAGCAAUCCAUGAGUAAAGUGGCGUACGGGUGAGUAACACGUGGGUGAUCUACCUCUUAGUGAGGAAUAACGCUGGGAAACCGGCGCUAAUACCGCAUGAGCCCGAGAGGGGAAAGUCGCAAGACGCUGAGAGAGGAGCCCGCGGCCGAUUAGCUAGUUGGUGGGGUAAGAGCCCACCAAGGCAAAGAUCGGUAGCCGGCCUGAGAGGGCACACGGCCACACUGGCACUGAAACACGGGCCAGACUCCUACGGGAGGCAGCAGUGGGGAAUCUUGCACAAUGGGGGAAACCCUGAUGCAGCGACGCCGCGUGAGCGAUGAAGCCCUUCGGGGUGUAAAGCUCUUUCGGCAGGGAAGAUGAUGACGGUACCUGCAGAAGCAGCUGCGGCUAACUACGUGCCAGCAGCCGCGGUAAUACGUAGGCAGCGAGCGUUGUUCGGAGUUACUGGGCGUAAAGGGUGUGUAGGCGGUUGCUUAAGUUUGGUGUGAAAUCUCCCGGCUCAACUGGGAGGGUGCGCCGAAUACUGAGUGACUAGAGUGCGGGAGAGGAAAGUGGAAUUCCUGGUGUAGCGGUGAAAUGCGUAGAUAUCAGGAGGAACACCGGUGGUGUAGACGGCUUUCUGGACCGUAACUGACGCUGAGACACGAAAGCGUGGGUAGCAAACAGGAUUAGAUACCCUAGUAGUCC
rnacentral:rRNA from 1 species